rnacentral:siRNA from 1 species
AGUGUGAUUGACAUGCCUAAG